AUUCAUUCACUUUUACAUCACAGUUUCUAUUUACAUUUUUACUUCCAAAUUACAAUCUCAUCACAUUAGGGUUUACAAGUUUAAUACAUUUUGUUUUUCCUUGUCUUCUAGUCCCCUAAGCUAGACUGCCUCAGGGUACUUCUACCUCGGUCUCUGUGGCAAGGCGCUAUCUACUGAGCUACGCCCUCACCUCGCGCCGUCGCGCCGCACACGUACAACCUGAAAACACCCCGAAACAACAUGGGGUGAGAACCAACUCCAUGGUUCCCAGUGGGUACGGCCACCCAAGGGAAAAGCUCGACCGAUAGGUCCGAGGAGGCUCUGCAACAUGUUAGUUCAACAAUAUACAACAGAUAUAUAUAUUCAAUUGAAAUACAUGCCAUGCCUCACAAUAUGCGAUAUGCAAAUCAUGCAACUCUACGCAACAUCUAGUAGAUCCAUAGAUUCUACAUUUACUUGGCUACUCUUAGCUCGCAUCUUUACUCUAAGGCUUCUAUUACCUUAGGAUCUCAAGCCUCUAUCUCUAGCUCAUAGGGGUUCCUCUACCCUAUCAAAGCUAACCACCCGACUCGGCUUCGAGUCGAUCAUCCGCGGAUAGCCCGCGCACUGGCUGCUCAUCAGCCUACCGCCCUCUCUGUCUCAGCCCCCUAGCGGCGAAGUCGUCGUACACGCUAAGCCUGGCUCAAGUCGCACGACUUGACCAUCUGGCGGCGAUCACGUUGCUCUUACCCAGCGUGAGCUCGAGACCUGACACGCCGUCUGGCGGCGAACGGGUCGCACCACACCCAACAACAGCACAUGUCAGACUCAGCCACCUGGAGGCACCCGCAUCGUACUUACCCAGCAUGGAUUCAGUCUGCUCUGGCGGUCUGAUCCUCAGUCGGCUUAACCACCCGGCGGCGAAAUCGUCGCACAAACGCCACGUCAAUGGUUCAAGCCUCGGGCGGUGAUCUCCACGUGAUCACCCCCAAUCCUCUCUCGGUACCAAGCUCGGCGGCGAAGUCGUCGCACAAACGCCCUAGCUUUUACCAGGGUCAUAACAAGUCAUGGGAUUCCGGAAUCCAUUUCACAUCACAUAGGGUUGGUCUUAACCCUAUGGAACUGACCUCUCUAGGUCUAAGCCUUUACUCAACCUAAGUUCACCCAUUAGGUUUAUUGCUUUCACAUUCUUAACCUAGGUUUAUUACACUAGGAUCAUUAUUCUUUCCAACCUAGGUUCACU
rnacentral:lncRNA from 1 species